AUUGAACGCUGGCGGCAGGCUUAACACAUGCAAGUCGAGCGAGCGGCGGACGGGUGCGUAAUGUCUGGGAAACUGCCUGAUGGCGGGGGAUAACUACUGGAAACGGUAGCUAAUACCGCAUACUAUCAGAUGUGCCCAGAUGGGAUUAGCUAGUAGGUGGGGUACGGGCUCACCUAGGAGACGAUCCCUAGCUGGUCUGAGAGGAUGACCGGCCAAACUGGACCUGAGACCCGGUCCAGACUCCUACGGUAGGCAGCAGUGGGGAAUAUUGCGCAAUGGGGGCAACCCUGACCCAGCAACGCCGCGUGUGUGAAGAAGGCCUUCGGGUUGUAAAGCACUUUCAGCUGGGAGGCGUUACUCGCAGAAGAAGCACCGGCUAACUCCGUGCCAGCAGCCGCGGUAAUAC
rnacentral:rRNA from 1 species